rnacentral:rRNA from 1 species
GAUCAUGGCUCAGAACGAACGCUGGCGGCGCGUUUAAGCAUGCAAGUCGAGCGGCAAGGGCCUUCGGGCCCCUAGAGCGGCGGACGGGUGAGUAACACGUGGACAAUCUGCCCCCCGGCCCGGGAUAGCCCAGGGAAACCUGGAUUAAUACCGGAUGAGACGGGACCCGCGAUGGCGGGACCCGGGAAAGGCGCUGCGGCGCCGCCGGGGGAUGAGUCUGCGUCCCAUUAGCUAGACGGCGGGGUAACGGCCCACCGUGGCGACGAUGGGUAGCCGGCCUGAGAGGGUGGACGGCCACAUUGGAACUGAGACACGGUCCAGACUCCUACGGGAGGCAGCAGCUAAGAAUCUUCCGCAAUGGGCGAAAGCCUGACGGAGCGACGCCCGCGUGAACGAAGAAGGCCGUGAGGUUGUAAAGUUCUUUUCGGGAGGGGGAACAACCGUGGCAGGGAAUGGCCGCGGGAUGACGUGAAUCCCGGAAUAAGCCCCGGCUAACUACGUGCCAGCCGCUGC